rnacentral:rRNA from 1 species
UACGGGGGGGGCAAGCGUUGUUCGGAAUUACUGGGCGUAAAGGGCUCGUAGGCGGCCAACUAAGUCGGAUGUGAAAUCCCCAGGCUUAACCUGGGAACUGCAUCCGAUACUGGAUGGCUUGAAUCCGGGAGAGGGAUGCAGAAUUCCAGGUGUAGCGGUGAAAUGCGUAGAUAUCGGGAGGAACACCAGUGGCGAAGGCGACUUCCUGGCCUGUUCUUGACGCUGAGGCGCGAAAGCUAGGGUAGCAAACGGG